rnacentral:rRNA from 1 species
UGGAAGGUUUUCCGCUGCAUCGAAAUAAACCACAAUCUCCACCGUUGGGCAGCCCCCCGCCAUACAUUGAGUUUUAACCCUGCGGCGGUACUCCCCCAGGCGGUCGAAUUUAAUGCUUAGCUGCGGCAGUAAGACCUCAAGCUCGCGACCGACUAGUUGACAUCGUUUAUGGCGUGGACUACUAACAGGAUUAGAUACCCUGGUAGUUCACGCCGUUAAAGAUGUCAACUAGCCGUUGGGAGCCUUGAGCUCUUAGUGGCGCAGCUAACGCAUUAAGUUGACCGCCUGGGGAGUACGGCCGCAAGGUUUAAACUCAAAUGAAUUGACGGGGGCCCGCACAAGCGGUGGAGCAUGUGGUUUAAUUUGAAGCAACGCGAAGAACCUUUCCAGGCCUUGACAUCCAAUGAACUUUCCAGAGAAGGAUUGGUGCCUUUGGGAACAUUGAGACAGGUGGUGCAUGGCUGUUGUCAGCUCGUGUCGUGAGAAGUUGGGUUAAGUCCCGUAACGAGCGCAACCCUUGUCCUUAGUUACCAGCAGGUAAUGGUGGGCACUCUAAGGAGACUGCCGGUGACAAACCGGAGGAAGGUGGGGAUGACGUCAAGUCAUCAUGGCCCUUACGGCCUGGGCUACACACGUGCUACAAUGGUCGGUACAGAGGGUUGCCAAGCCGCGAGGUGGAGCUAAUCCCACAAAACCGAUCGUAGUCCGGAUCGCAGUCUGCAACUCGACUGCGUGAAGUCGGAAUCGCUAGUAAUCGCGAAUCAGAAUGUCGCGGUGAAUACGUUCCCGGGCCUUGUACACACCGCCCGUCACACCAUGGGAGUGGGUUGCACCAAGAAGUAGGUAGUCUAACCUUCGGGAGACGCUACCAUCGGUUGAUCAAUGUC